rnacentral:rRNA from 1 species
GACGAACGCUGGCGGCGUGCUUAACACAUGCAAGUCGAGCGGUAAGGCCCUUUCGGGGGUACACGAGCGGCGAACGGGUGAGUAACACGUGGGUGACCUGCCCUCAGCUCUGGGAUAAGCCUGGGAAACCGGGUCUAAUACUGGAUAUGACUCCAUGACGCAUGUUGUGGGGUGGAAAGCCUUGUGCGGCUGAGGAUGGGCCCGCGGCCUAUCAGCUUGUUGGUGGGGUGANGGCCUACCAAGGCGACGACGGGUAGCCGGCCUGAGAGGGCGACCGGCCACACUGGGACUGAGACACGGCCCAGACUCCUACGGGAGGCAGCAGUGGGGAAUCUUGCGCAAUGGGCGAAAGCCUGACGCAGCGACACCGCGUGAGGGAUGACGGCCU